rnacentral:rRNA from 1 species
GACGAACGCUGGCGGCGUGCCUAAUACAUGCAAGUCGGACGCAGUUGCGAACGGGUGAGUAACGCGUAGGUCAAUACCUAUUAGAGGGGGAUAACUAUGGUAAACGAUAGCUAAUAACGUAUACUAGUAGGUGGACCUGCGUUGUAUGAGCUCGUCGGUAGGGUAAAGGCCUAACUAGGCAACGAUACAUAGCCUAGCUGGGAGGGUUGUCGGGCAACAUGGGACUGGGAACCGGCCCAGACUCCUAAGGGAGGCAGCAGUAGGGGAUCAUUGGCAAAGGGGGGAACGCUGACCGAGCAACGCCGGGUGGGUGGAGAAGGUUUUCGGAUCGUAAAGGUCUGUUGUUAAGGAAGCGGUACUUAACCAGAAAGGGACGGCUAACUACGUGCCAGCAGCCGCGGUAAUUC